rnacentral:rRNA from 1 species
AGUGAACGCUGGCGGCAGGCCUAACACAUGCAAGUCGAACGGCAGCACGGCAGUAGCAAUACUGUGGGUGGCGAGUGGCGGACGGGUGAGGAAUACAUCGGGAUCUACCCUGUUGUGGGGGAUAACGUAGGGAAACUUACGCUAAUACCGCAUAAGAACUGAGGUUGAAAGCGGCGGACCGCAAGGCGUCGCGCGAUUGGAUGAACCGAUGUCCGAUUAGCUAGUUGGCGGGGUAAAGGCCCACCAAGGCGACGAUCGGUAGCUGGUCUGAGAGGACGACCAGCCACACUGGAACUGAGACACGGUCCAGACUCCUACGGGAGGCAGCAGUGGGGAAUAUUGGACAAUGGGCGCAAGCCUGAUCCAGCCAUGCCGCGUGGGGUGAAG